rnacentral:lncRNA from 1 species
AUGGGACAUUUGGGGUUGAAAUCAUUCCUCACCACUGAGCUUCAGUGUCAGGCUGGAUACUCUCUAGUGCCCACUAAAAUCCUGGAUUCUUGCAUGCAAAUAAAUCAGAAAGAUGCAAAAAUAAAAUCCUUUACAAAAUGUCCAAAAGACUGGCCUCUAGGAGCAGAAUUGUCUUAGCCGGUUAGUGUCCAAUUGGUUUUCCCACUAUUCUUCCCAAACUCCAGCUAUCAGAAUCUAAGCAGGACCUUGGGAACUAAGUAACUGACUUCAUACGCUCGUGCCCUGCGCAGGGCCUCUGGCUCUGC